rnacentral:rRNA from 1 species
CAUCGCCUCUUGCAACCAUAAGAGGUCCAGCCUGCCCAGUGAUCUAAUUCAACGGCCGCGGUAUCCUAACCGUGCAAAGGUAGCGUAAUCACUUGUUUUCUAAAUAAAGACUAGUAUGAAAGGCAUCACGAGGACUUAACUGUCUCCUUUCUCCAAUCAGUGAACCUAAUCUUCCCGUGAAAAAGCGGGAAUACACCUAUAAGACGAGAAGACCCUGUGGAGCUUUAAACAUAAUAACACCUGCCACCAUCUCUAACAACCCCGGUACCUCCUUCAAGCGGCACCCUGAUUAUAUGUUUUUGGUUGGGGCGGCCGCGGAGAAAAACUCAUCCUCCGCAAUGAACGGGACUUCUUCCUUAAACAAUAAGUCACAACUUUACGUAUUAAAAAAUUAACAUUC